rnacentral:rRNA from 1 species
AGUCGAACGAUGAAGCCCAGCUUGCUGGGUGGAUUAGUGGCGAACGGGUGAGUAACACGUGAGUAACCUGCCCUUAACUCUGGGAUAAGCCUGGGAAACUGGGUCUAAUACCGGAUAGGAGCGUCCACCGCAUGGUGGGUGUUGGAAAGAUUUAUCGGUUUUGGAUGGACUCGCGGCCUAUCAGCUUGUUGGUGAGGUAAUGGCUCACCAAGGCGACGACGGGUAGCCGGCCUGAGAGGGUGACCGGCCACACUGGGACUGAGACACGGCCCAGACUCCUACGGGAGGCAGCAGUGGGGAAUAUUGCACAAUGGGCGCAAGCCUGAUGCAGCGACGCCGCGUGAGGGAUGACGGCCUUCGGGUUGUAAACCUCUUUCAGUAGGGAAGAAGCGAAAGUGACGGUACCUGCAGAAGAAGCACCGGCUAACUACGUGCCAGCAGCCGCGGUAAUACGUAGGGUGCGAGCGUUAUCCGGAAUUAUUGGGCGUAAAGAGCUCGUAGGCGGUUUGUCGCGUCUGUCGUGAAAGUCCGGGGCUUAACCCCGGAUCUGCGGUGGGUACGGGCAGACUAGAGUGCAGUAGGGGAGACUGGAAUUCCUGGUGUAGCGGUGGAAUGCGCAGAUAUCAGGAGGAACACCGAUGGCGAAGGCAGGUCUCUGGGCUGUAACUGACGCUGAGGAGCGAAAGCAUGGGGAGCGAACAGGAUUAGAUACCCUGGUAGUCCAUGCCGUAAACGUUGGGCACUAGGUGUGGGGACCAUUCCACGGUUUCCGCGCCGCAGCUAACGCAUUAAGUGCCCCG